rnacentral:lncRNA from 1 species
AGAGAAAUAAGAGAGCCUUGGAAUUUAAGAUGUCCUAGACUGUGGAAGUAUUAUUAUUCCACUGCUCUAGAUUGAAUGUUUGUGUUCCCCUAAAUUCACAAGUAAGGCCUAAUCCCUAGUGGGAUAGUAUUAGGAGAUGAGGCCUUUGGGAAGUGAUUACAUGAAGAGUGGAGCCCUCAUGAAUGGGAUUAGUGCCCUUACAAAAGAGACACCAGAGAGAGCCCUUGCCCCUUCCACCAUGUGAGGACACAGCAAAAACGUGGCCAUCUAUGAACCAGGAAGAGGGCCCUCACCAGACACUGAGUCUGCCACCACCUUGAUGUUGGACUUCUCAGCCUCUAAAACUAGAACAAUUAUUGAGAAUGAGGAAGGAAGACUUCUUUCACCACCACCAAGUGUUGCCGAAUCCUCACCCUUUGCCCCAUUAAGCAAGUGGCAGGCACCUCACCUUUUACCAUGGGAAACAUCUUGGUCCUGCUGGGACCUCCCAGUCCAAGGAAGCACCAGGGAUGGCUUACCUCACUGGCUACAUGGAAGAGAGGAAAAAAGGAAGAGCAAAACUCAUUUCAAGGUCCCAAGAAGAAGAGAGGAAGAGAAUAUUUACUCCAGAGAAGCAAACUAUAGCUCCGUGAAGCCUGUGCUUGGGCAGCUUCUACAUGCAGCAGUGCUGAAUACCAACACCUACAUUUCCCCAGAGAAACAGCGUACAGCAAUGUGCUGUCCUCAUCCACUUCUUCUGAAGUCAAGUCCCCAGCAG